CUCACUCAUUUCAAAAGAAAAAGAUAUUUCCUCUCUCCACCGGUCUUGAAAAAUUAUCAUUCUACUUUGUUCUUCAUUUCAAGGUUGCUCUCUUUUAUCUUUGUAUUUUCAUUUCACGCAUGAUUUUAUUUUAAUUUUUUCCCGAUUAUUCUUGCUUAUGUAAGCUUGCGGUAGAAUAAUGGUCGUAUUCUACUUGCUCGUUCUUAGCCUUUGCUUCUAUUUGAUUGCUCUUCUUCUUCUUCUUGAUUUUUCUUCAAUUAGUUUAUGAGUCAUCUGCACUUCAUUUGAUUUGAACUUUUGUUCUUUUAUUUAGGUAUAAUAAUGGAAAUCAGAUUACGAGAGGGAAAGCAUUGUCCUGUCAGCUUGCCGCUAAGCGAUAUUAGUCAUUUUAAGUGAAUUUGUAUGUGUUAAACUCAUGCUCUACCUGUUGUAUGUGUAUGGAUGAACACAAUUCCAUAUGAG
rnacentral:lncRNA from 1 species